rnacentral:rRNA from 1 species
AGUGAACGCUGGCGGUAGGCCUAACACAUGCAAGUCGAACGGCAGCACAGUAAGAGCUUGCUCUUACGGGUGGCGAGUGGCGGGCGGGUGAGGAAUACAUCGGAAUCUACUUUUUCGUGGGGGAUAACGUAGGGAAACUUACGCUAAUACCGCAUAUGACCUACGGGUGAAAGCAGGGGAUCUUCGGACCUUGCGCGAUUGAAUGAGCCGAUGUCGGAUUAGCUAGUUGGCGGGGUAAAGGCCCACCAAGGCGACGAUCCGUAGCUGGUCUGAGAGGAUGAUCGGCCACACUGGAACUGAGACACGGUCCAGACUCCUACGGGAGGCAGCAGUGGGGAAUAUUGGACAAUGGGCGCAAGCCUGACCCAGCCAUACCGCGUGGGUGAAGAAGGCCUUCGGGUCGUAAAGCCCUUUUGUUGGGAAAGAAAAGCAGCAGGUUAAUACCCCGCUGUUCUGACGGUACCCAAAGAAUAAGCACCGGCUAACUUCGUG